UACGUAGGGUGCGAGCGUUAAUCGGAAUUACUGGGCGUAAAGCGUGCGCAGGCGGUUAUGUUAGACAGAUGUGAAAUCCCCGGGCUCAACCUGGGAACUGCAUCAGUGACUGCAUAGCUAGAGUGCGGCAGAGGGGGAUGGAAUUCCGCGUGUAGCAGUGAAAUGCGUAGAUAUGCGGAGGAACACCGAUGGCGAAGGCAAUCCCCUGGGCCUGUACUGACGCUCAUGCACGAAAGCGUGGGGAGCAAACAGG
rnacentral:rRNA from 1 species